AAACACCAAUAAGAGUACACACAAACAUGGAACACAAAGGAAUUCCUUUUCCAAAGGACCAACCAAUGGGUGUAUACAGCUCAAUAUGGAAUGCAGAUGAUUGGGCCACACAAGGAGGAAGAGUGAAAACAGAUUGGAGUCAUGCACCUUUUAUUGCAACAUAUAAAGCCUUUGAAAUCAAUGCUUGUGAGUGUCCAAUGUCAGUGGCUGCAAUGGAUAAUACAAAGAGGUGUAGUAGUAGUAGUGAUGAUAAGAAGUUUUGGUGGGAUGAGCCUAAUUUGUCUGUACUUAAUUUGCAUCAAUCUCAUCAGCUUAUGUGGGUCAGGGCUAAACAUAUGGUUUAUGAUUAUUGUAAUGAUGUUAGUAGGUUUCCAAUUACUCCUCUUGAGUGUGUCCAUCAUCGUCAUAACUAGUAGUGAAUUAAUGUUUUUAAUUAAGGGAGUAAAUGUUGUUAAUUAGUUAAGGUAAAAUUAAAGUUAUGGAACAUGUCCCUUGUGUUUCAUAUUAUUGUACUAAUGUAUAUUGGCAAACUAUAAUGUGAAUUACUUGGUGUUUUUCUACUUGUACAAUGGAAUUUCUACUUUUGUCGCAAUUACAAGUACCUAUAGGGAAAAAAAUUGUCUUUUAAUUGUUAUUUUCUAAACACACAUCUUAUUAAUUCCACUAUUUUAUUUUAAAAGAUGAAAAGACAAAUUACAUACAUUAAUGUAUAAAUGGCAUUUUAUAAUAUGAACACAUAAAAUUUACUUUACAUUUUUCUCAAUAUAAGUAAAAAAUAAGCAUUUAUAAUUAGGGAUCGAGGUACUAUUUAGAUAAGUGUAUUCUUACAUCAAAUUAUAGCAAAUUUAUCAAUUAUUGAAUAUUACAAAAUGAUAGUUACAAGUUAUAACAUAUAUUUAGAUGUUAAGAUGUUAUCUUGAAUGACAUUAUCUUUAAGAUUUGAUAGAUUGCAGCUACGAGAGCAAAAUGAGAGGUAAACGAUCUCAUAGUCUGAUUUUUAAAAUUAGGUUAAUUGCUUAAUAGGCAUCAUUUAAAUAGCAGAAAUAAUUGAGGGCGUGAACUUCUUGUUGGAUUUAAGAUAAUAGUUUAAUCUACCAUAAUCUAACAUAGAAUAGAACCUUCAUCAAUUGAUUAGUGUUUAAUACAAAAAAAAAGUAUAAUUUAUAUAGUACAAAUUUUCAAUAAUCAAUUAUUGUUGAUCAAUAAUUUCAUUAAUUAAAGAAUCUAACAUAGAAUAGAAGCUAAAUAAGAGAGUUUUGAGAUUUUUUUCAUAGAUAGAAUUUGAAAAUUAAACUCGAUUAAGUCUAUUUGUGAGAAAUAUUUAGAUAUUGAAAUAAAAGAACCCAUUAAAGUAAUUUUAAAUUGAAGUUUUGAAUGUGUGAUAGACUAUCUCUAUAGUAUCUUAAUGUAUAUUUAGAUUUAAAUUUUGAAAUUUUGAUGGAGUAUCCUAUAGAAUAUUAACGAGUUAAACUUCAAACAAAUAUUAAAUUAGUAAAAUCUCUUUAAUCAAUGUACAAAUUUGAAAAAAAUAGUUUUUACAUUAAAGAUGUCAUCAAUCUGUAAAGUCUAGUUAAACUAGUAAAAAUGUCGAAACUAUUAAAUUAAAUAGUACGUUUUGGGUUCGAACUCAGGACCUUGCAUUUAUAAGAGUUUCUUUGCUAUUUCAUAUAAGAGAAGAAAAAAAAGUUCUAUUUCCAAAACCAUUUUUCAAUUACCAGGAGAGAGAAUUAGUUGAUCUUUUAAUUAUUUAUAUUUAAUUAGGGUAAUUUUGUGAAAAUCUAAUUAAUACUUCUUGUAAUUUGAAGAGAGUCUUAUAUAACAAGACAAUUUGUUUUUAUAAUAGAGUCAUACAUAUUCAGAUGGAAGUAAUAUUAAGUAUUUUAUCUUUAAAUGAGUUUGUCUUUUUAAGUGUUUCAUUAAAUUACAAAAUGUAUUUAUCUAAAAUCAACUAUUUAGCUCUUAUAUUGUUAGAUUAUAUAUUAAAGGUAAUUUAGUCUUUAAAAGUUUUAAUGUUUAUAUCUUACUAUUGCAUGGUUUUGUGAUGACUUUGCAUUUUGUUGAACCCUAGUCUCUUGUUGUUCCCUCUUCGUUCUUCGUUACUUCUUAGAGUUAAUAUUAUUAAUAUCAUAUAUUAUUAGUGAAAUAUUAAUUAUUUUAUUAUGCUAAUAUACCAUUAUUUACUAAAUCUCAACUCAUUUAACUAUUCUAGUAAAAACAAUUAAUAACGAUAUUUGAAUGAAUAAAAUUUAUUUAUUUUGUUUAAAUCAAUAUAAAUUUUUAAAAAAUUGUAUAUAACUCAAAUGAGAUAUUUAUAAAUUUAACUGGAGAAAUAAUUUUUAUAUUUAGUAAUUCAAGAAUGCAUCAACAAUAUCCUUAAGAUAAGUUUGAUAUUCUCUCUCUUUUUUGUUGUUGCAAGAUCUAAAAAGUAUUCCCUCUUUUACAAUCAAUUAUAAGCAAAAGUAUUUAUUUUUAGAUUUAUAAUGGAUGAUAGUUACGUACUUUUAAUUAUUUUUAUUUCAUAUAAAGAGAAAAUACAAUUACUAACAUACAUCAUUUAUUAUUAGGAUCAUCUGAUAAUAUAAGGAAUUAAUACAAAUAUCUAUUCAUUAAAAUAAUGUUAUUUUAUAUUAAUUGAUUUUUAUUUGUAUUUGUAUUUUAGGUCAAUAAAAUAUAUAUUUUUCCGUGUAAUUGAGUUUAAUAAAAGUACGAUAGUUUCCAAAAUACAUCGAGUGAAAUUUUAUUAUUUAUUUUUAAAUACUAUAAUUCAUUUAUCUCAAACUAUAAUUAAAAAUUAAUAAAAAAAAUUAAUAUAUAAUUUUAAAAUGUAGAUAAAAUAUAUUUAUUUAUUUUAAUUUUAUAUUUUGAGAUGGAGUAAUAUAAUAUUCAUUACUAAUUAGUGAAUGAAAUUUAUUCAGCAGUGAAGUGUCUUGCGUAUUUCAAUGACUUGGCAUUUGCAUUUUGCAUCGAAUGACGUGGCAAUUGAUACCACAAGCUCACGGGUUGGAUGGAAAUUUCCGUUGGGGGACCAAAAUAAAUAGCAUUUGAUUGGGGAACAGAUCAUGGAGUAUAGGUUUGGACUCUUUUGGAGGCAAUGAAAAUUAUUAUAUUAAAUUAAAUAGAUUAAAUAGAAGGUUGUGGGCCAAAAUAUUUAAGAAUCCAGGACUUAGCUUUGUUGGGUAAUGUUUUCCUCGUGUCUUGUAACAAAUUUUUCCUUAAUCUUACUGAAUUCUUAGCAAUUUGCAUAAUAAGAUAAUACCAAACGGGAGUACACAUUCAAGGAAUGAUUAAUUGUUUUAUUGCUUCUGUGGAUAUUUGUCCUAGAUAUUGCAAUGUAUUAGACUUUUUUAAUAGUGCCACAUUUGAAAAGGUUUGUACAAAUCCAAUAAUCUUUUUUUAAUGCAUGAACUAUAAUAAGAUUCGAUUGAUUGUCUUGCUUUACUAAAGCUUUAUUAAAUGGGAAGAAAUCAUUUUUAUAUUUCUUUAUUAUAUAUGUCAUAGGCCUUUUGUUAAAUAUUUUUAAAUAAUUUUAUAUAAUUUUGUCUUUUAAUUAUAAUAUGUUUAUAAAUAGUUUGUUUUAAAAUAUUAUUUUAAGUAUAUUAUACUAUUUACUACAAUUGCUUUUGGAUAAUAAAUUUUUUAAAAAUAAUUAAAAUAAAAAAUUAUUUUGAAAAACUCUUCAUAAAUAAUACUUUUGAAAGAUACAUUUUUUAAAAAAAUAUAUGUAAUUUUUAUCAUGUUAAAAUCUCUAAUAACAAAUAUCUAAGUUAUUGUAUGUUAAAUAUGCUUUUUUUAAUCGAUAACAUAUGAAUCUAAAACAACUUUUAAAUUUUUUAAAUAAAUUAUCAUAAAAAUUAUAAAGUCAAACUUACUUUCUAAAAAUUUUAAACUAAUAGGUCAAUUAUUUUCUUCAAAUAAUUUUUAUUUUAACUCAAUAAAUUUGGUUCAACUGGUUUCUUAACUCUGAAUUUGUCAAAAAAAAAUGCAAUUUAAUCUAUACAAAAUUGUAGAAAUGGGUGAAUAAAUAUAAAUUGCAACAUAACCAUUCAAACAAAACUAGUUUCAUAACCGAUUUCUUUUACAGAAGUAGGGAUACAGAGAUCAAAUUGCAAUUGAUUAAAAAAAUGGCUUUAUUAUUUUUUAUAGAAAAAAAAGAUGGCUUUAUUAAAGCCUUAGUUUGGACGGCUUGACUUCCUAACUCUCAAAAAGUAUUAAAUAAAUUGGUUUUAUCAUCGAGUGAAAAAAAUAUUUAAAUAAAAUUAAUUAUAAAAAUUUUAACAUUUGACAAAUUUUAAAAAUGAUUUUGUAUCUUUGGAGUAAUGAUUUUUGUAUCUUAAAAAACUUAAAAAUAAAUAAAAUGUAUGAUAUUAAUUUUACUGUUAAAAAUAUAAUAGACCGUAAUUUUGAGUUUGUGUUAGGCUUCAUGUGCUAGAUUCACACUUUAUCAAGAUAUUUAUUGUGCCUCCAAAAUGAUAUGUGGAGUACGAACCUUGGCAACAAACAUGUGAAACUUGCGAUAUAAUUGGAGUUAUUCUAAUAAUUAGAGUCAUUUAUUUGAUCAACUCUUUGUCAUUAAGAUUGGACCCUUUCUAUUGAUAUUGCUAAACUAGAUAUAUAGGCUACGACAGUUUCAAGGGACAGGAUAGUUAUGGGCAAUCUUUGAUGAAGUAUAUGAAAAAAUAUAUGAUCGGUUAUUUUUUUCAACUUCAAUUAUUAAAUGGAGGGCCCUAUUUUGUUAAAGAAAAACUUUUAAUGUAAACUUUAUCAAAUUGAAUUUUUAUUUGGUGACUUUAAUAUAUUUUAUAAUAAAUUUAGUAAUUAAAAUUAAUUGAUAAAAAUUAUUUAGAUGAAAGAAAAUGGUUGGAAAAAAAGAAAUAAAUAUAAAGUUAUUGAGGGUAGGAAAUUUAAAAAGUAGAGAAUUUUAAUUCAAAUUUUAUGUGAAUUUAUACACUUAGAAAGAGAAAUAGAUAAAACGUAAUAUGUUGAUAAUUUGAUUAAAAAAUAAAAAAAAAAAUACAAUAAUACGUUGAAUGAAUCUUUAAAAAUAUAAAGGAUACAUAUAUCAUUUUUAUUGAUUAAAUGAGAUCAUGUGUUAUACUUAUACAUAGUAAAAUAUUGAGGGAAUUCAGCAUUGUAGUCGUAUUUAAUGGUUUUGUACUCUUUAUGUAUCAUAAUGAAUGCCAAUUUUAAAAAGUAUCUUAUAUUGGAUGUAAUUUUUAGUUUUUAAUGUUAAAUGAAUUAUUUUUUAAUUAUAUCUUCUAAUUUAAAGUAACAUGUAUUUUUUUUCUUUGUUGAAUAUUUUGUAUAUAAUUAUUAAAUUAUUGUAUUUCAUUUUGUAUUUAUGAUAUAAACCAUAUUAAUUAUUAAUGCGGUUAAUUAAUUUAUUAAAAGUACUAUUUUUUAUUUUUAUUUAUAAUUAUUUAUUAAUAUGUGUAAAAUAAAUAAAAGUCACAUUUUAUGUAGAAAAAACAUAUUAUAUAUUACAGCUAAAUAAUCUAGCUUUAUAAAUUAUAUGUCACCCCUUUAUAAUAACUGUCACAUAUACAAAACGAAAAAACGAUUUUCUCAAUAAGAUCGUAAUUUUUGUUAUUAAUGUAAUUUUAAUUGAUUUUUUUCAUUAUACUACAUAAUUAAUAUUAUGUUUAUCAUUUUUAAGUUAUUAAUCGUUAUUUUGCAUUUAUGAUGAAUAUAUUGAUGAUCAAUAAGGAUAAUUUAGUGGAAUCAUAAUUUUUUAAUUUCUUUUUUUAUCAUAUUUUCUUAAUAAAUGUGAAAUUUUCAAAUACACUGUUAUUUUGGAACAAAAGGAGUAUAAUUUUUUCUUUCAAAUUUUUGUGUGUUAAAUAUAUUUUAGUUAUUCUAAUUAAAAUUCCACCCUUUUAAUUUAUUAUCUGUUAUAUAGAAAUACAACAUUUAAUCUUUACAAUGCAUGUUGUUUUAGUCCCUUUUAAAGUUAACAUAAAUUUUUGAAUGAAUUUUUGUAAAUAUAUUUAUAAAAUUUAAAAAAUUUAUAUUUAAUUUACUAUAAAUUUUUGUAGAAGAGCUUUUUAAAUUUACAAUGUUCAAAACAUGCUUAAAAAAAAUUAUUUAAUUUUUUAAAAUUCAAGGGCAAUUAAAUGUUAUAUUAUAAUUUUAUAAAGACUAAAAUUCAAAAUUCAAAAUUUAAAAUUUUAUAAAGAUCAAAAACAUAUUUAAUUUAAAAUUUUAUAUAACCAUUAUCACGAAUUCAACUAAAUAUUAAACAACUAUCGUCUUUCUUAGGUGGUACACACACGCCUUUUAAAAGAAGUUAAUAAUAUUAAUAAAAAAUAUAUUUGAAAAAAAUUAAUAAAUACAUCAAGUAAUUUGAAAGAUUGAUUAUAUUUAUGAAUUUUUUUUAUCAAAUGGUUGCUCAUAAUGGGGGACAAAAGUAGUAUUUAAAAAAAAAUAAGUAUAACAAUUUCCAAUACAACUUAUAGACUAUUUUUGAUAAAAAAUAAUUAAACAAAAUUCCAACGGGUCUUUAUUAUAAGCAAAACAAUUAUUUUAUGAUUAUUAAGAAAUUUAUUUAGAUGCAAUUAAAUUUUUAAAUUUCAUAUAAAAUAUAAGUUAAAUUUACUAAAUUGUGUCUUUUUAAUGUCAAACAAUCAACUAUCUACAUUAAACAUUUUUAAAUGAAAUGAAUAAUAUAUUAAAAAAAAAUUAUUAAAUGGUUCAAAAGUAUUUAUCUUUUGUUAGAACCAAGAUUUGAAAUAUUUUUUUAUAUUGAUAAUAGUAUUAAGUAGAGUGUAACUUUAAAACACUUAUUAACUAAAUGUCUAUCUAAUAUCAGUUUAAGACAUCUCAUUAGACUGAAAAUAUAAAUUCAUCCUUAAAAUUUUGAUAGAUCAUAAAAUUUUGAGACAAUUUAGUCAAUAUUUCUACUGCUCAAAAUCACUAACAUUUAUUUUGAAAUUUGAAAAAUCUAAUUUCACUUUAGCAUGUAUCUAUUCUCACAUUAUCUCUCUAUUUUUUCUCUAUUUUUUCUCACAUUUAAAUCAGAUAUACUUUUGUUUCUCCUUCCAAAUCUAUGUCUUCUUCUUCCUUCUUUUAUUCUUCCUCUUCCUUUUCUACUCUCUUUGUCAAAGUUGAAGUCCAUGAAUUCGGAAUGAUAUUUUUUCACUAUGGUGGUCAAGAAGUAUGAUUAUAGUUUUUAAACAAAUUAAACUACAUUGUAUCUUGUUUUCCACCAAAACCACUAUGUUUUUCUUAUAUGGAUUUGAGUCUAUUUCUAUUGAUUUUAAUUAUUUUGCAAUAUGAUUGUAGUUAUUUUGAAUUUUUCUUUCUAUUUUACUUUAGAUCUGUUGUACUUUAUUGCAAUUAAUUAGAUUCUUUGAACAAUUAAAAGAACAUUAAUAAAACUUGAUAACUUAAAAUGUAAGAAUAAUGAAGUAAAAACAAGAAAACACCAAAUAUUAGUAAUUUAAUUUAAAGCAACGCUCCUACUUCUAAAGGACUAAAUUCGACGUCAAAAAUUCACUAUGAUUUAAGACAAUUACAGUUAUGAAAAUUUGUGAACAAUUCAUCAUCAUUUCUUUGUUUUCCCUCAUUAGUGUUUAAUUUAUCUCAAUUUUUUCUAUCCCAAAAUAUUAUUGAAUGAAUAAUUGCAUGUGCAAGGAUUUAUAUAUUAGCCAUUACGAGCUAUUAGUCAUGUCAAUGACUAUCUAUAGUUGAUUAAGUGAACACCUAAACGAAAUUAGUUUGAUUGUUCAUAUUAAAAUUUUGGUUUUGUGACUUCUCAUGAAUUUUGAUAUAUUUAUGUUAGCGUAUUUCUCUCAAAAUAUUUAUAUUUAUAAUUUGAAUGAAGUAUAUUUUUAUAAAAAAAAAAAAAUAGUUAAUUUGAUUUUGUUUUACAAAAAGAAGUAAAUAACAUAUCCUUAAAGUAGUUACAGAUAAAUAAACUAGUAAAUAGCCAAUCACAUAUUGAUGGUGUAGUGAUGAAUGCAACAGAUUAGUGCCCAGUCCUGAAGCCCAAGAAUUUCAAGUUUCUGCCAUGCAUACAGCAACCUAUUUUGUUAGGCCCACUAUUAUUAAUAACCCAAUAUGAAUUAAUUAAAGAAGAGGAGUACAUGUGAGAGAAAAAGAGGAAUAUACAAGGUAAUACAAGUUAAUCAAAAUUAAAUAGGAAUUCACAAAGAGAGAAAAAUUGAAUCGCACAUUAAACUAAUAAUGUACUCGUUGAUUCAAGGUUAAAAAGAAUGUGAAUGGACAAGUUUAAUUUAAUAUAUAGUUUUAAUUAUACCAAAAGAAAUAAUACACACUAAAAUAUAUAAAUUUAUUUUAUUGUGGAUUGUGCCCUCGUUUGUACCCAAAAAACUUUAUAUUUAAUGUUAUAUUUAAUUAUAAUUUUGGUCUUUAUAUUUUUAACAAUUUACGGAAUUGAUUUUUUUAUUUAUUUUAAAAGUCAAUAAUUUUAAUCAUUUUUUAGAUUUUUAAAUUAAAAAAACAACGAUUUGACAUAUUUUAAAUGAUGUGGCAUACGAUUUUAUUUUACAGAAUCAUCUAGAUUUAUUAAUUAUUCAUAUGUGAUUAAUUAAAUUAUAAAAAUAAGAAAUUUCCAAAGUUCAAAGUUAAGUUUUUUAAAAAUUUAUUGUGAUUUUAUGAGUAUUAGUCUUUCUACAUCAUUGUAUUAUAUGUCACAUUAUUUAAAAUAUUUUAUAUUAUCAUUUUUUGAAUAAAAAAUCAAAAUGAUGAAGUAAAGCUGUCAACAUUUAAAAUAGCGAGACCGAUUUUGUAAAUUGAUGAAAAUAAUAAGAUUAAAACUGCGAUUAACCUUUUAUUUUAUUAAAAAUUAAACUCACUUCAUUUUCUCAUACUUAUUAUAUUAAAAAGGAUAUAUUAAUUUUGUAUCAAUGAUUAUAUAUGAAUUAACCCUUAUAAUUUAUUUAAUUUCUUAUCAUCUGUUUAAAGUUUUUUUAAUUUUAUAUUUGAUUAUCUCGCAAUAUUUAAAAGCUUGUUAGCUUUUUAUAUAUAUAAAAAAAAAACAUAAAAUUAAACAACAUAAAUGAAGAAGUAUGAAUGGAUUUAGUGAAAAAAAGUAUGAAUGAACCAACUCUUUUAUAAAUUUUGAAAAAAAUGGUAGUUGCUAAAUCAACCCUAAAAAAACAUGAGGAAUUACUGGAAGGAGGUUUCGGUAGUGAAAAUGCACUAUAUUAUAGGAAACAAUAAUUUGGUAGUAUUUUAUUUUUAUUUUUAUAUUGUGAACAAAAUUGGAGAUUGACCUCACCUAAUUCAUCAUAUUUUAUUUCCUUUUAGUGAACAAAUAAAUUGAUUUCUCAAAUGGUAAAUCUCGAUUAAAUUAACCAUUAAAUUAUACAAAUUAAUAAAUAUAUCAUAAAAUUAUAAAAUAUCAUUUAAAUUAGUCUCUCAAUAAAGAGUGGGUUAAUAUGUUGUUAGUACACCCCUUAAUAAAGUUUGUGUGGUUUUUUAAUCUUUUUGUAGGGGGUUCAUGUGUACUGUAAAAAUUCUUUAGAUGUUUGAGAAAAUCUAUUGGUAUUUGUAAGAGGAAUAUACCUCUCACUCCUUCAAACGACAUAACUACAUGGAAAAACUAUUUUAUCUUUCUUUUACUUGAUAGUCAAUUUUUUUUUAAGAAUUUAAAAGAAUAUUAAAAUUAGAUAAAUAUGAAACUUCUUAAAUGUAAUUUUUUUCAACAAUUUAAAAAAAAAAUUACAUGAAUGUGAAACUUCCAAAAUACAAGCUUUUUAAAAGUUUAAAUAAAGUUCGAAACAUUGAAUUAAUGUAAAACUUCUGAAAUGUGAGUUUUUCAAAAAUUUAAAAAAAAAUCAAAACAAUUUAGAUGAAUGUGAAACUUUCGAAAUGCAAUUUUUUCAAAAAUAAAAAAAAAUAAAUCGAAACUUUGGAUGAAUGUGAAACUUUCAAAAUACAAGUUUUUCAAAUAUUUUAAAACAAAAUUCAAAUCUUUGGAUGAAUGUGAAAUUUUCAAAAUGCAAUUUUUUUAAAUGUUUUAAAUUUUUUUGAAAUUUUAGAUAGAUAUAAAACUUCCGAUAUGCAAUUUUUUAAUUUUUUUUUUUAAAUUUUAAAAAUUUGAACAAAUACGAAACUUUCAAAAUUUAUAUAUUUUGGAGAGUGGGAGAUAAAGAUAAGAAGGUGAGGAUGUAAAUUUCUCUAUUUAUAAUUGAGUGAUACAGAAAUUAGGAAUAUAAUUUUCAUCUUCAACAUAAUCUCUGUAUGGAUCAAUAAUGUGUUUUUCAAUUGGUAAAAUGCAUCGUGCAAUUCUAUAAGUUAUUAAUUGUACCAAAUUGAAUUUUUAAGUAUUUCUUUUAACUAAAUCUUUUAACCUCGCAUAACAUGUACACUGUUGACAUUUAUUUUAAUUUUCUUACAAAAUGCAUUUGUGACCAUUUUGUUGCUAAUAUCGACGUCAUGUCAUGUGUUUAUAUAUGGUUACUUCAAUUACAUUUCCACUUAUUAUUUUGGUUUAUUACAAAAAUAUUUUAAUCGUACCCUUAAAAUCCUCUAUAACUCAUGUCUUUCCUCUUCAUAUUGUCAUCUUCAUCCCUUUGUAACUUUAAAAUCAUUUCAAUUUUUUCCUUCACAAAACCAUGUUUGUAGAACACUCUCAAUCUAUUCCUUGAGAGUAUGAAUGUUUUAUAAAUAAAACGUUUUUCAAAUUCCAUGUGUACUAUUGAAUUCCUAGUCAUGGAGAGAAAAAUAGAAAACAUUUGAAACUAUAAAUUAAGUCUAGAGCUUAGUUGGUGUACAAUAUUAUUGAUGUCACUAGCAAUAGUUUCUGCUUCUGAUUUCAACAAAUCAUUCCGGUUUGAGUGAAGUCACUUCAAAUGAUGGCAACAAAAGAUGUUAUUUUUUCUAACCACGAAAAAACUUGUCAAUAUUUUGAAUGAUGAUAUUCUUGUUGUUUCAGAAAAAGUUGGACAAACCGAAAAUGAUAAGAAAACCUUUGAAUUAACCCAAUUGAGUAAUUUUUGACAUUCCUGUUUCAAAAAUAAUAGUUACAAUGAAGUAAAUAAUAUAUAAUGAUUAAAAAGUAUAUGAGUGAGUUAAAUAUAUAGAAGAUGUGAUGGCUUUAAGUUUUUCCGCGACUUAACCUAAUAAUAUUUUAUAUGAUGUGAAACUGAAUCAUGAACCAUCAUAUCUUAAGUUUGAUUGGUAUAGACCAAACAUGAAUAAAAAUGAACCAAUUUAAUUGACUUUGAUUGAAUUUUCAGAUUUAAUGUGUCAUUGGUUUGGACGUCUUGUUCUUUCUCCCCUAUUAAGAUUCAUAAUUGUCCUCUUUAUUUUAUAAUUUCAAAUGUUUUGUAUUACUAUGACUAGAGUUGUCAACAAUACACUUAAUAUCAAUAUCAGUAUUCGUCAUUAGUAAGACAUUAAUAUAAUUAUAGAUAUGAGAAACGUUUUCUAGAAUUGGAAACUAAGGGUGCGUUUGUUUGAGUUUAAAUAAAAAUGAUUUAAAAUAAUUUAGAGAUUAUGUUUUAGAGAUUUUUAAAAAAUAAUUUUUUAACUUCUGUUUGUUUACUAUUAUAAAAAUGAUUUUUAAAAAAAAUAAUUUUUAACAUAUUGGUAUACAAUCUUGUAAAAAUGUUUUUUUUUCUAAACUAGAAUGAGCAUUUUGUAGACACAUUUUAAAAUUUGAUCAAUGUAAUUGAAUACUCCUAACAAACCAAUAAAUAAACACACAACCAAAAAACAACAAUGAAGAAAAAUUAACAUGAAUUAAUGUAAAUUGAUAGAUAACAAUGAGGGUUUGCAUGUAAUGAGAAAACUGACAACGUCGUGUCUAGAGAAAAAAUGGUCACUACGUGAAAGAGAAAAAAUAAAGGCAACUAGUGAAUUGUUGUAAACUGAUAGAUAAAAACUUAUUAAAAAUGAAUUGACGGCAAUUUGGAAUUUUCAGAAAUAAGGUAGGGGUAAUUGCAUCAUCUUCUCUAGUUGAUGAGAUAAGUUCCGUUUUUUUCAAGUGUAUUUUGUUUUUCUCUCUCAUCCGGCAAAUGUUAAGCUACUAUUUUUAGCUUUUUAUUUUAAGUCAAAUAAUAAUUUUUUUUAAUAACAUCAUUUUUAAAAAAUUUGAAACAAACACAUUUCAAACCCUAUAAAAUAAUUUUUGCCUUAAAAAAAUAGAAAAGAAACGCACCCUAGAUUUAAAUAUCCAUAUAUACAUGGACUAAUUUGAGAAUGUCCUAUAAAAUCAGAACCAUUUUGAGUUCCAAUAUUUCACUUAACACAUAUCAUAGUCAAAGAUCAAAUUAAUAUAAUUAUAUUCUUAUAUUAAUUUAUAUUCUUAGGUCAACAGUCUAACAACUAAAUCUACUCCGUUGGUUUGGCCUUAGAAGAAAUAUGAACAUAUUAGGCUGCAAGGCUAGUGAUUGCAUUUUGCAAAGGAAAAAUUUACCCAGUACCACCACUUUUAAAUUUAUACUCCCACAAAUUUAUAAAAAUGCCAAAAAUAUCUUAUUCUUUUACCAUUUCAUCAUUUCCGGAGAUAGUAAAAAGAUUUUUUAUAAGUAAAAGUUUUCCGGUAACUUCCAGAAAACUAUUUAGAAGAAUUCCAGUAUACAGAGUGUUUUCGAAAAACUUUUUACAAGUUUUUCUAUAUAGAAAGUAUUUACUGGAAAACUAAAUAAAAAAACGAUUUGCAAUAUAGAAUAAAAAAAUGUGUAUUACCGAAAAACUUUCUUCAAAUUUUGGGUUUUCGGAAAAGACAAGUUUUCCGGUACACACAUUUUUUUUUUAAUUUACUUUAAUUAAUAAUUAAUAUACCAUAAAUAUUUUUAAAUAAUAAUACACCAUAAAUAAUUAAUAUAUUAUAAAUACACCAUUAAAUAACUAAUACAUCAUAAAUAAAUAAUACGUCAUAAAUAAUACUCUAUAAAUAUAUUAUAAAUAAUUAAUACACCGUUAGCACACCAUAAUAAUUAAUAAUUAAUAAUUAAUAAUUAAUACACUAUUAGCUUACCAUAAUAAUGAAUAAUUAAUACACCAUAAUUAAUAUACCAUAAAUAAUAAUUAAUACCUUUGGGAUACCCUCACAUUCACCCUCCUCGCUCCUCAUGUCACGUUGAAGUGUAUUUUUUCUAGAAAACUUAAAAUAAGUUUUUCGGUAGUUCCGGAAAACUUCAAAAAUGAUUUUUGAAAGUGAUGUUCUGUGCCAAAAAACUUUUUUCAAAUUUUCCAGAGUUGAAGACGUGUACUAGAAAACUGGAAAAAAGUUUUUCAAGUUUUCUGAAAUUUUCUUUUUUGAAACUCGCUAGUUCUGAAAAUGUUUAAUGAAAAAAUAAUCAUUUUUACUAUAUAUGAAGAUAUUUUACUCUUUUACUUUAUAUUUAGGGAGUACAUGGAUAAAGGCCACGGUAAAAUUUUCUUUGCAAAGGCAUGUGAGUCCAAUACCAAUUUUUGGGCUUGAAACAUAGAUUUGGAUGACAAAGGCAUGUCUCUCCAUUACCCAAUUUUUGGGCUUGAAACAUUAAUUUUGAUGAGUUUGAAGAACUCUAAUUACUUCUAAUUUGAUGGUUUAUACUUUUAUUGAAAAAGUAAUUAAGAAUAUUUUUUUGAACUAAAAUACUUUCUGGACUUAUCAUAUUAAAAAUGUCAUGCACAUAACACUGAAGAUUAAAAAUUUAAAGGAUUUAACUCUGAAAAAAAAUUAAAUGAUUAAUACAGUUCAAUUCAAUAACUAAAAAGAUUGGUGCAUGUAUGUUGUUUCAAAUGCGUUUCUUCUAUCUUUGUUUAGUCUAUUAUUUGUUUAAUUUCAAAUUAUGUAAAUAAUGAAUAUAUUCAAGUUUAUUUGUAAUAUGAUUUUCUUAUCAUAUUCCAAGUGUAUCUUUUUAUUUAUAUAAUUGAAAAAUUAGUUUUAAUUAUUUUCUUUUACAUGAAUUAGCAAUGAAUUAUAUUUGCAAUUACGUACACUUUUAAUCCAAAGAUUAAUAAUAGACCCUCUUACUCUUCUACAUGUUAGUUAGGAUAUUAAAUAUUAAAAUUUUGUAACUUUUAUUAGAAAUUGUGCAUUUUUCAUACUCAAAAAUUGUAUAUUUAAUUUUUUUAAUAUAUAAAUAUUAUUUGUAGAAUUCUUAUCAAAUACCCUUAGGAUACAUCUUAAUAUUUCCCGUUUUUACUAUCUUUUAUAUAAACAUUAGAUUUAUUACAAAUACACUAAAUUAAAUCACAUUCAAUUAAAUCCAUAUUAAAUUAUAUUAACCUGUCAAUAUAUAAAAUUACUCCUACUCUAAUACGAGGUGUGCAAUUCAGUGAUUAACACAAGAAGUUGUAUAUGCCCAUUACACAUUAACAAGUAAAAUUCAUUUGCUUUACUUUAUUAUAUUAAAUAUUUUUGAAACACAUUUAGACACUAUCCAUAUUAAAUUGAACAAUCAAGUAAAAACAUGACUGGAUUAAAAUAGACAGGAAAAAAAUAAUAUAAAGUUGAAAGAAUUACUAGGCUAGGCAAGAGGUAACUAGAACUAGACAUAAGGUAUAAUGAAGAGUAUCCUUAACUUAAUAGAAAACAACAACCAUAUAUACAACAUCACAAUUGAAGUCACACAUGUUACUUGUAGAUUUUAAAGAUAUGAAUAUUACAUAGAUUGAACAUUGAAAUUAAAUUACAAAAAUGUUACCAUGAACAUUAUAUUGUGUGCAUAAAAAGAGCCACAAUAAUUACAGGUAAUAACUUUGACAAAAUCCCUAACUCUGAACUGAUGAUGGAACUCGAUAGCUUUGAUCUAGGAUUAUUGUUCUUGUCUUUGCCCAGGGUCACAUUUACAUUUACAGGCAUAGAACCUAAAACAAGUUUUCAAUUAUAAGACAAAGAGAAAGACUGUAUACUACUUGUUGGAAAUAAAAGUUCUAAGGGGUGAACUUACAAUUAUAAUUCGUCCAUCCUAUUUGCUAAUUAGCCAAAUCGUAGACAACGAUCUUAUCUUUUAAGACAAGAUCUGCAAAAAAUAAGACAAUACUUGGAUAAAUCAAUUAUUAUCAUCAGAAUUACAAAGGUCAUAGCAAAAUAUUACUGAAUCCUUUUUGAAAAUUGGAUUUUGUGACAAAUGGAAAACAAACAAUAAAUUUAAAUAUCUAUUAGAAAUCAUUUUGAAGGAUGAUUAUGAGAAUCCAACCAUUUUUUUAACACUCAAUCAAUGCGUUUUUCAAUUUCCAUUGCAAUGGGUUUAGUGAAAUUGUAUAAUGUAGUAAAAUUAGAAUCUCUAAUGAAAUUAUGUCACGCUAAUUAUCUGCGCCAGAUACAUAACAUUUUUAGAAUAUUUUACCAUUUAUAAAAGUUCCCAUUUAAUAGGACAAAAAAAAAAGAUAUUAUUUAAUAAUCAAAUGAGAGAAUUAUAAUUUUUUUUUCUUCCAAUUAAUAGCAGAGUUUAUACAAUCCGUUUAAAUUGGUCCAUCAUCUAACCUCCUAAUAUUUGGUGUCCGCUUUCCACUUUCUGGAAACCUAUGCACCACAACCCAGCAUUCUGUUAAAGCAAAAUGACAAAUUAGUGACAUACAAUUCUAAACAAUAACUUGUAUGCAAAAAAUAUAACAAACAACAUAAUAAUAAACAUAAUUUAUGCUUACCCUGAAAUCACUCUGCACAAGAUAUUGUGCUGGUUUUACAUCCAUGGAUGCUCCACCCGCAAAGUUAAAGCUGACUAAAGGAAACUUAUCUACACUGAAUAUUUAAGAAACACAAAAAAGUUAAUGAAAUAUUUAGAAAUCCUAACUGAACAAGCUCUCUUUUCAUGUGAAGUAAAUAGAGAUCUUAAUAACAACUAUUAUAUUUAUAAUUACCUGGUUGAGACAAGACAACACGGGUUUCCUGCUAAAACAAAGGGAUGGCUAAAUUGUGGCACCAUAGAAGUUAUCUACAAAGCAAUUUAGAAACUGAACAUCAGUAUAUAUUAAGGCUGUUACAAUUCUUACAAUACAACAUAAAUAAGCAAACCCAAUUUUAAGAAAAUAAAAAAUAAGAAUUAUGUAAAAAAGAAUGUAAACUUCAACAUGGUGUUCAAUAGUUUGUUGAAGUAUCUUAAGACAUACAAGUCUCCAUUAAAUUAUUUCGUGAUUUUAAACAAAAAACAAUCAUCGACUAGAUCAAAGAAUGGUUCAAAAUUGAUCUAUAUAUCCAACAUGAUAAAACUUAAUACAGGUCAAAUAAGACAAGAGUGCGAGAAACUUAAUACAAUUCAAUGGAAAAAGGUCAAUCGGUGAUUUAACGAAAUAGACUAAACAUGAGACAAGCAAACCAAAGAGUAAGAAAAUAUUCUCAUUAUUUUUUUGCAACGCAGAAUUCCUCAUCAUGAAAAAGUCAAAUGAGAAAAAUAUGUCAGACAAAGUUCAACAUUCCAAUGUUUUGAGCAUGGUACAAGAAAUCUUAUUGCAUUGACCAGAGGAUUAUAGACUUCCGAAAAAAGAUACGCCAGUGUUGUACCACUGUCAAUAGUAGUUCCCCUGUCUCCAUAUUUGGCUGGUAAAAAUGCAACUGGAUCAAUUGAGAGGAGCUGUCCAUUGACAGCAAUGCUCUCAAGAUUUAUGUAAUAAUGACACCUAAGAUUUAAUUGAAAACACAAAGACUGGUCAAUUAUACCGCAAAAUAAGAAGCAUUUUAAGUAGCCAGUAAGUAAUAUCAACUAAGAAGCAUCUGACAAGAACAAAAACAACAUAAGAAGCUUCACAGGGUAAUAUAACAACAUAAUUAGUAAUAUAACAACAAAAUAAUAAUCAAACCAUUAUUUCACAGGGUGGUAUCAAAUACAUGGAUCAAGUAAAUCAGUAAAUUCAGAUUCAAGAUUGAUAUUUAUUUUUACAUCUCCUUCAAUGAUUUACUCUAUAUUUUCCUCUUUAUAUAUCUCUAAUUACUAGACUAUCAUUUAUAUUUUGUUGUUUUUAAAAAUCUUCUCAAUACAUCCAAACUUACUUAUAUGACAUUCCAUAUAUUCACCAACUUCAGUCACAACAAUUUGUUAAGGGAGGCUUGUAGGUUACUUAGCUUUUUUUGUUUAACAUGUUACUUAGUUUAAGGAAGGCGUGAGAUAAAGCAAUAACUCAUGGAGAACACCACACACAUACAAUGUUAGAUGGCUUUCAACUAGUUUUCAAGUUUCAAAAACUGAACAUGCAAUUUCAGGCCACAAGUAACAAAUAUCAUCUAAAAUUAUAAUUCAUUUUCGUCCAACUAUCAAUUCUUGGGUAUGUUUCUUUCCAUUUAGCAAAUGGAAAAUAUAAUAUGAGCUUUCUUCCUUGUCAGCAGAACCCUAGUAAUGUUGAUUAGAUUAAAUCACAGAUAAAAUAGGUGUAUCCGAAUCGACCCUAAUUGUGGUGAAUAUCCAGUUCAAUCAUAUUUCAGGUGUCACCUACUGGCUACUAUUAUAACUCUCAUUUCCUCUUCUUAGUAGGUGGCUGAACAAAAACAACAUAAGAAGCAUUUUAAGAACCCGACUAUUAGUAAUAUCAACUUUUACAUUCAAUUGAAAAACCAUUUAAUUCAAUUAACAAUUUUUUUCCAAGACCAGAUUCAUUUAAUCAUGUUUUAAACAUACUUGCUUGUGGGGUGUCAUGUCAAGUAAUUUUCAAGCAAUCAAAUUUUGUUUCCUAUAUUUCAACCGAGCAUAUUGUAACUCUACCAAAAGCAAAAUUGAUAAAUUUUAUAAUUAUUGAUUUUCAAUUGAAAAUAAUCUAAUUGUACAAUUUUUAUUCUAUAAACUCCUUUCAAAAAUGUCUUGUAUGCUUCUUUAUAUAAAUAUUGUGCAAUAUAUGGAAAAAAAUGACCCAUAAACUACAAAAAGAAAAUGAGAAAAUAGUGCAGAAGAGAACAUACUUUGAUGGAGCAAGUGGACUAUAGACAAUACUUGGCUCCACAACUGCACCAAGAGCUAGAAUGCCUCCCCCAUUGCCAUCUCCUUUCAAGCAAUGAGAAAAAGCAUUCGUUAUUAUUUCACGUGUUGACAAUUGAGACACAACAGACAGAGGGCCAGGGCCAAACCCAAAGGUUCCAUCAAACAAUGUUGGUGUCUCAAUCAAACCUCCACCAAGAUGAGUACCACACCUAUUGCAAAAACAACACAUCAAUAAAGUUUUAUUUCAAAACAAAAUCCAUAUUUAUUUAUCAGUUUUCAAAAGUCAAAUUUGAGUUAUGUAUCAGAGCAAGAUACAAAAUACAAGGGGAACCUAUUCACAUAUUUUCAAUGCAGCAUCAAUGAACUCCAUAUACAUCUAUGAACUGUCUUUACAUAUCAUACUUGAGUUACAUAAAUCUUUUUUUCACCAAAACUCUACUAGUUUAUAUAUUCAUAAUUUGUAAAUAAUUCAAUGCCAAAAUUCAUAUUAAGUAUUAGUAUUAACAAAAACAUUAGAAUGAAUGCAAAAACUAAGAGAGAAGAUAAGAAAAUCCUAUUAUUUACCAAUUCUUCAAUUUAUUAAAAAAUUAACCUAUUGACAAAACUUGCAUAACCAAUUUAACUCCCCUAACACUCCCCAUUCCGAAAUUAUCUAUAAUUGAGUCCUAUAGUCUUUUAGCAUAAGCUCCCUUGACCCGCCUAUCCAAGUCUAAUUUAUAUAUGUUCCAACAUACACACAAAUUUAUAAUUGUCCAAAAUACACAAGCAUAACGGUUUCUCACCCAAAAGAGACAGUGGCUGAAGAGUUAACACUUGAAGGAGAAGGCUGCCCGAGGAUCAUAUCAAAAUGCAUUUCAUCAGUGACAUAAACACCCGAGGUAGUACUAUUAUCUUGAUAACCAUAGGUGUAUGUGCACUGUUUAACAGGAGGAAGGCAUCAAACAUCCACACCUUGAACCCCGAAAGGGCAUAGACGGUCUGAGCAAUAAAUCAUCGCAGCCGUGGAUGAAUCUAUCGUGUCAAAGAAAUUGAACUUAAACUGCAGAGUACACAACAUAACAUGCAACAAAUAUUAAGCUUCAAAUAAAAAUAUUGGUUCCCAAGGCAACAAAACAAGUACCAUAUCAUAAGUAGUACUACAAUUAAGUAUGCAUAGUAAAAAAGAAAUGAUGAAAAUUGAAACUCCUUACCCCAACUCCAUUAGAUCGAGGGCAAUUAUCACAUUAAUUGCAACUAACCCAGAGAAGGUCGCUACAUGUAUCAAUCAACACAGUAUAUUCUCUUGGUGGAGAUCCGAGCUUGACUAUGGUUGAAUAUGUAAUAUUAUUAUCAACAUCUAAAAAUAAAUAAAUAAAAUUCAUUUCCCUAUCUAACUAUACAACACAACAUAAGAGAAAGAAAAAAACAGAAAAGAAUGUGAGAAUAACGUGGGAAUAGAAGAAACUAAAGUUAUAAAUCAAAGAGUUUAUGGGAGUUGCCUUGGACGGGGAAACUCGCAACCAUCGUGUUUGAUGUCAAGGUCAAGCUUAUUAGUGAACACUUUGAUGACUUCUAAUUUAUUUAGAGACCCCAAUUCAUUUGAGCAAUUUUGGAAAGAUUUAUUAUAAUAACUUUUUAUCAUUCCAUCCUCACCAAAAGACAUAUUAUCUGAAUAAAAGAUGGUGGAUCUUUUACAUGGAUCAUGGUGAAGUGGUCUAGUAUUAAAAGUAUAUGUUUUUGCCCACACAUUUCCUUGCUUCCACUGCUUGAAUGUUUCUUGCACAUUAACAACAUCUGGCAAAAACAUAUGACUAGGGAAUACUUGAACAGCAUAACCCCAUGAAACAGAAAUUGUCCAUGAAAACCAUUUUUCGUAGCAAAUUGUUUGUUGCAACAUUCUUUGAGAACCAACAUUUACUGCUUUGAAUAAAUGUUGGAGAGCUUGUGUUGUUGUCAUGUUUGGAAAGAUUGGAUCUGUGAAAUCAGGAUGAUGUAGAGAUAAUAAGGGUGUUACUGGAUGUGCAGCUAACAGGCCAAAGAUAUUUCCAGUCAAAUCAACCUAUGUCAUUUCAUAAUAAGAAAAGCAAUACAUUAAUAAGAAAAUGAAACAAAGAGCAAUUUAGAUUCACAAUAGUUGUGACUACAAUGCAGUUAAAACAUCUGAAUCCUUUUGUUAAAAUUGGACGGACCAAAUUUUAAAAUUAAAUUUCAAUUAUUUUUUAAAUUAAAUUUCAAUUAUUUUUAAAUUAAAUUUGAGAUUGAAAUCUGAACCAUUCCGAUAUGCUGCAAUGCAGUCAGAGGAAGCCUACUACAGCAAAUCUCAAUCCAAAAAGAGUGCAUUGAGAAUUUUUAAUUUUAGUAAUCAUUUUAAAAUUUCAAAAAUCAUUCAAACUAAGUUUUGUAUAAUUUUUGUAUAAGUCACAAUUUAAACCAAUUUAUUAGCACGAAUCUCAAAGAAAUUAAUGAAAUUUUAAAGAGAUUUAUAAAAUUAAAAUACAAAAUGAUUGUGUAAAAAAACUAAUGUGAUCAAGAAUUUUAAAUUUUAUAGAUCAUCCCAUAAUUUGUUAAUCUUAAAGAUAAAAUUGUACUAUAUCAACAAAUUCAUAAACUAAAUUGACCAUUCCACCAAAAACAAAUUACUUAUAAUUUUUUAGCAUUAAUUUCAAUCUAAUAAUGAAUUAAAUUAACAAUAUCUCACCUGGUGAAAAGCUGGUACAUGUAUCAAUCCAACACCAAGUUCAGCCAAACAAGAGUACACCCUACCAUCACUUCCAUAAAGAUGAUGAUACCUUUCCAAACAAGAAUCAAAAACCUUAGCCAAAACAUUAGCCAAAGAAGAACUAAUAGCAAAACCAGCACCACCAAAAGCCAUUCCAAAACCAAACAACCUAUUCUGCUCAUAAAUCUCAGAGUGUGCACCAAUAUAGUACCAAAGCUCAUGAUCAUAUUUAGAAAGUGUCUUAACCAAAUUCUCUGGCAAGAAAAUUGUGUCAUCAUCACCAAACACAUACCACCUCACAUUUGAAUGAUUCAAAGCAACUGUCUCAACAACGACUCGAGCCACGCGUAUCGCCGAUCGAAGUCCACCUUUAAAAGUGUAUCGAAACCGCGACGUGUCUCGAGAUAAACAAAGAGGAGGAAGAGAAGAAGGGUCAUCUUCAUUACUAAUACUAUCCAUAAAAACACAACCUUUCAUUGCAUUGUUGGUUUUCCACCAUAGUUUCACAUAAUCUUUUCUUUUUGUCCAUGAACUCUUGCUUGAAGCAAUUCCAAACACAAUGUGAUCUAAAGUGGUGUUGGUUGAAAUUGUUGACACAUCUUGUGAUGAUGAAUGAUGCAAAUGUUGUAGUAGCUUUGAAUUUGAAUUUGAUGAAUGACAUAAAAGCCACAAAAUGAAGAUGUGACUAAAAUGAAAUUAACAAAAAUUGUGCUUUGGUGUGUUUCUUUAAUAACUGCAUGUUAAUUAACAAUGGGUAUUGGGGAAAUGAAUAUUAUUUUGAAUCUAGUUAUGUUCUUAAGUUGUAAAGAACUAUAUAAAUUGUUUAUAAAAAAAGAACUAUAUAAAUUAAACAAAAAUAUAAUUAAAAAAAGUGCCACCGCGAUUAACGGUGUGAGAAACAUGAAAUGUGCCUAGUUUUGACGUUUGAAGUAAGUUAUAAUUUGAUGUGUAAAAUUAAGGUAAGGUUGGUGUAUGAGAAGAAAAUAGUGUCACUUCCAAUUAGAUCUGUACGGUUGUGUGGUGAGCAUGGUCAUUGGAUGUAUUGACUAUAUAGAGAAGGGCAUCAAAAGAAAUGUUUAGGUAAGUUGCUUUAUUCCGAGUGGUGGUUGCAUAGGCUUUGGCAUGUGAUUGUGUUCCCUCGUGAGUCACUAAAAAACAAAAGCCAUGGAAAAGGAAUUGAAAUGGAAUCUUGUAGUACAUUGCCAUGGAAAAGGAAAUGGAAUCUUUUAGCCAUUAUAUGUCAUGCGCAUCAUUUUCUACCUUUUCCCUUCAUUAUUUGUCUUAACCGAUAAAAAGUUGUUCCAAUCAAAAUUGAACUUAGUUAAAAUGUGUCUUUGUAAUAUUUUAAAUAUUUUUUGUUUGUAAAUGCGAUAAUUAUUAUAAAAUAGAUGGAGUAAUUCUGUUUCUUUUAGAUUUUUUUCAAAAAAUAUAGUCACUUUGUUUAAAUAUUAAAGUUAUUUUUAAGAUUUUUUCAUUGUUUAUUAUUGAUUCUUGAAAAAAGUAAAAAUUUGCUUAAAAAAUUCAAAUUUCCUUAAAAUGAAAAUUUAUUUUCAGUAGUUUCUAAAAAAAAUAUUUCUUAUGGAUAAUUUUUUUUUAAAAUUAAAUAAUUUUUAUCACAAUAAAUAAACAUAAAACAACAUUUUGUUUUAAAAAAAUCUCUAAAUUAUUAAUAUAAUUUUUUUUAUAAUUCAUAAUAAACAAACAAUAUACAACUCAUACAUAUUAGAUUAAAGUGUGUCAAACACUUAUACAAUAUUUGUUUUAUUAAAAGAAACACAAAAUUGAUAUAUAUAAUUAGAUUCAAUUACCUAUAUGUAUAAAAAUACAUAUAUAAUUACACUCAAUUAACUUUUUCUUUACUUUAAUAUUGGUUGUUCAUGAUUUACAACAACUCUAAUAAGGUUUUGGUUUGGCCAAUGCAUUAGCAGCCACGCGAAAUAGGUGUCUAUUGGUUUUAUACACAAAUUCAGGCAUGAUUGCACAAUUCUACUAAUGGUUUCACAUGUUUGUUACGGCUUUUUUAUGCUUUUUUCUUCAUUCUUAUUUUCCUUCAAAUUGUAAGUAAUCACUUUCCUUUCCCUUUUCCUCACAUUUUUCUCGUCAUAUAUCUUUGUCCACAAUAAUUUCCCAGACUGACCUGUUCAAAUUUGUCUUUACUUGUAAAUUAUUGCAUAAAAGUAACGCUAAUAAAUUAACUCUGGCAUCGCAUGCUUAUUUGCCUUCUAUUAACUAACUCCCAAAAAAAAAAAAAACAAAUAGGUUACGUCAAUGAAGCAAGAUGUGUAUGUGUAUGUGAGUUUGCGUAUAUCUUUGAAGACUAACUACUCGCUCGGUGGAAACUGGUUCAAGCCCUUAUAGAUCAUCAUGCAUGUUUAGAUGCACUAACGUCAAAACGCAUUUUUUUCCUAUUAUAAUUUUAAAAAUAUUUUCAUUUUCUUUUAAACAAAAAAGCGUGCAACGUCACGAAAGAAAUACCGAUCAUGUUCUAUAUAUUGGAUCCGUUUGUAUAUGAUUUCUUUAAAAACGAUUUUUUUUAAUAAUUUUAAAAAUAAAGUUUUAAAUAAAAUUUAAUUUAAAUAUUUCAUCUAUUUGUUAUAAUUUUUUUUUAGAUAAUAAAAUUUUAAAAAUAAUUAAAAUAAAAAGCUAUUUUGAGAAACUCUUCUUAAAAAUCACUUUAAAAUAUACUUUUUCCCAUCAUUAUUAUAAGCAAAAAAUAAAACUAAUUUUAUAUUUAUUAAGAAAAUUAGUUUAGUGCAAUUAAUUUUCAAGAGUUCAUGUCAAACAUAAUUCGAAAUUAUUAAAUUGUUUACUGGAACGUCAAACAUUCAACUAUCAACACUAAAUAUUUUUUAUUAAAGUAAGGGUAGUAUAUUAUGAAUGUUAACAUUAAAUGAAUCAAAAAUAGUAAAUUUUUGCUUAUAAUAGUGAUGGGGUCACUGUUUUGCUUAUAAUACUACAGAGAGUAUAUAUUUUUUAAUAAAAAACAUGAUUUUUAUCAUGUUAAAAUAUCUAAUAAUGAAUAUUUAAAUUAUUAGAUUCAAUUUAAAUAUUUCAUCUAUUUGUUAUAAUUUAUUUUUUUAGAUAAUAAAAUUUUAAAAAUAAUUAAAAUAAAAAGUUAUUUUGAGAAACUCUUCUUAGAAAUCACUUUAAAAUAUACUUUCUCCAAUCAUUUAUUAUAAGCAAAAAUAACUAGUUUUAUAUUUAUUAAGAAAAUUAAUUUGAUGCAAUUAUUUUUCAUUUACUUGCUAAAAGAUAUAUACUUGAUUUACGUACAGGAAAAUUGUAUUAUUAUAAAUAUAAUAAAUUUAACCACUAGAAAACUACAUUACUAUAUGCUGCAGUUGCAGAAAUAUAGUAAAACAGAUGCAGAAGUAUUGUUCACGUGUACAAAAGUUGUGCCAAAUAAGUUUUAAGUUACUUUUCAUAUACUUGCUAAAAGAUAUACGAUGCAUUUUGUAUAGCUUUUACUUGAUUUACGUAUAGAAAAGGAAAAUUGUAUUGUUGAUUCAUAACGAAAGGAAAUAUAGAAGAAAAUAGAUACAAUAGAGACAAGAAGAAAAAAUAUGUCUCACAUAAAAAAUACUUGAAAUAAAUAUUUGUCAUUAAUAAAUACAAAAAUAUGAGAAGAAUAUUUGUUAUUAAAAGAUAAAAUAACACGAAAAAAAUAUUUGUAAUUGAUACAUAAUUAAACUUUAAAGAAAUAAUUGUUAUUGAUACAUCAAAAAACAUGGGAUGAAUAUUUGUCACUAAUAUAUGAAAAAAUACAGAAGAAAUAUUUGUAAUUGUUAAAUAGAAAGAAAAAAAACAUGUAACAUAUUUAAGUAAGUGAUAAAUAUAAAAAAGAACACAAGACAAAUAUUUGUCACUAAUACAUAAAAAAAACACGGGAGAAAUAUUGAUCAUUGAUAUAUAAAUCAUGGAAAAAAUACUUGUAAUAGACAAAUAUUAAAAAAAUGUGACAUAUUUUGUCCCUUAUAAAUAUAAUAAUAAAAAAAAGGGGCAAAUAUAUAGCACACAUACUUAAAAGACAAUGGAGAAAUAGUUGUCAUUGAAACAUAAAAAAAACACAGGGGAAAAUAUUUGUAACUAGUAAAAAUAAAAAAAAUACGUCACAUAUUUUUGUUACUGAUAAAUAUAUAUAAAAAAAAACAUGAGACUAAUAUGAGAUUAAUAUUUGUAACUGCUACAUAAAAAGCACGAGGAAAUUUUUUAUCAUUGAUACAACAAAAAAUAUGUCAAAAUUUUUGUAACUAAUAAAUAUAAAAUAAAACAUGUGAGAUAUUUUUAUCACUGAUAAUUAUAAAAAAUAAAAAUAGACAAAUAUUUGUCACUGAUACAGAUAAAACACAUAACAAAUAUUUGUCAAUAAUAAAUAUAAAAAAUCAUGAGACAAAUAUUUAUUACUGAUAAAUAUUUAAAGAAAACACGAGACAAAAAUUUAAAAAAAUAUUGCACAAUGUUUUUCAAUGAUAAGUUAUAGGACAAUAAUUUGUUACUGAUACAUAAAAAACAAUAGAGAUAAAAUAAGAGAUAAAAAACAAUAGGAUUAGGUCGUUGUCAAAUAUUUCCCACUUAUUAUGAAUUGCAAUUUUAUUUUAUCAUCAUUAGUUAUAAUAAUUUAAAUCAUUUAUCUAUAUAAUAAAUAAGAGAUAAAAUAUUUAUUAAUUUUCUUUAAUUAAUAUCUAAGAGAAAAGUAUAGUAAAUUUUACCAGUAAAAUACAAAAUCAAAUAUAAAUGACUUCACUUAAAACAGUUUUUUAUUUUAAUACAAGCAUCAAUUUUUUAUUUUAAUCUUAAUGCCAAAAAUUAUUUACGAUAACAGAUCAUCUCUGAUUUGAGAUUCUAAAUUCAUGAAACAGUUAAAUAGCAGUUGAGACAACCAUAGAAUAAUAUAAACUAUUUGAAAAAAUUAAAUACUAGUGUUGGUGGAAGCAAACAAUAUUACAAAGAUUAAAAGAUGAAACAUAAAGUUAAAUAGUUGCAAAUUAACUCCCGGAAUAUAUAAAUACAAAAUUGUUAGUAUAUUACAUAUUUACAUACAAAAAUUGACCCUGUACACAUGUUAGUAUAUUAAAUAUAAAAUUUUUGUAUUAGAUAUUGUGUAUUUCUUUUAAUAAAAAAUUAUAUAUUCUAUUGUUUUUAAUAUAUAUAAUAUUAUUUGUGGAAUUCUUAACAUGUAUCCUUAAGACUCAUAGUAGCAUUUUCCUUUUUCUUAUUAUCAUGUAUAUAAACAUUAGAUUUAUUAUAAAUAUACUCAAUCAAAUCAUAUUCAAUUAAAUGUGUAUUAAGUUAUAUAAAUAUGACAAUACAUAAAAAUUACUCCUACUCUUACCAAAUUAGUGUGCAUUUCAGAGUGUAACACAUAGAGUUGUAUAUAUAUUUGGCUUAAUAACUCAAUAUAAAUGACUAAUUUUACUAAUUUAACAAUUAAUUAUUGGCAUAAUAUAUUUAUGGUCAAGUACAAAUUUUUAUAUAAAUUUAAAAUUCGCAGUUAUAUAAUUUAGUCAUCGGUAUUUAUAAAUAUUUUUUAAAAACUUCUUAUUCGUCGAUUUGAAAUUAUUUAAUAAAGUAUCAAAUUGUUUUAAAAUUUUAUAAAAAUUUGCAGAGUUGAUCUAUUCGAUGAGAACUUUUAAUUUGACAGUUGGAUUAAUGACUUUCAUCUUUUAUAUUGAAUUAUUAGUGGAUUAACUCAUAAAAGAGUUACUCGUGGAGUCGAUGUAUCCAUAUAUAUAUAUAUAUGAAACUAAAUUCAUUCAAAAUCUCAUGAUUCGUCGUGUAUGCCUUACUCCCGAUUGUUUUAUCCUUCCUUCGUUUCGUUUUUUCUCACGUUUUUGUCCAUAGUCUUUUUGUCUUCUUGAAGAAUAUCAAUCUGCUCUUUUCAACCAACAUUGCUUUACCUAUUCUCUUUCAGUGGAGAUAUAUGAAUAUUAGCAACAAGCAUCAAUUUUUAAUUUUAAUCUCAAUGUCAGGAAUUAUUUACAAAUGAUCUUUGAUUUAAGAUUCUAAAUUCAUGGAAGAGUUAAAAUAGCAGAUGGAACAACCAUAGAAUAAUGUAAACUACUUGAGAAAAUUAUACACUAAUGUUGAUUAAAGCAAACGAGAUUGCAAAGAUUAGAAGAUGAAACAUGAAGUUAAAUCUUUGGAAACAAUUGUGGAAACCUUUCCAGAUAAGAGACUCAAAUUCAAUUUUAAUCCAAAGAUUAAUAAUUGACCUCACUUUUCUACAUGUUAGGAUAUUAAAUAUUCAAAUUUUGUAUUGUGUAUUUCUCUUACUCAAAAAUUAUAUAUUUUAUUUUUUUAAUAUAUAAAUAUUAUUUCUAAAAUCCUUAUAUAUACCCGUAGGAUACAUGUUAAUAUUUUCCCUUUUUAUUGCCUUGUAUAUAUACAUUAGAUUUAUUACAAAUACACUAUAUAAAAUAUAUUUAAUUAAAUCCGUAUUAAGUGAUAUUAGUCUGGACAUAAAAAAUUACUCCUACUCUUAUCAAAUUAAUUUGCACCAACUUAUUAUUUUGUAUAUAGAAUAUCACAAUUAUUUUUCUAUUACUUAGAGAUUAAUUUGCACCAAUAAAGUAAUUCUUUCAACUUUCUAUUAUUUUAAGACAAAGAGAAAACUACUUAUAGAAAACAACAACUAUAUAUACAACAUCACAAUUGGAAAGUAUCCAAUAAUUAUAGAUUUGCACCAAUAACAGAGUAACAACUUAAUAGAAUUGUGACGUUCUAUCAACAUGUUACAAGAUAAUAGAGUACCACCACGGUGCAAAUUAACAUGUGGUACACUAUAUAAAAUUAUAUUUAAUUAAACCGUAUUAAGUGAUAUUAAUCUGGACAUAAAAAUUACUCCUACUCCUACCAAAUUAAUUUGCACCAACUUAUUAUCUUGUAUAUAGAACAUCACAACUUAACAAAGUACCAAUAAUAGAGUAUCCAUUAACUUAAUAGAAAACAACAACCAUAUAUACAACAUCACAAUUGAAGUCACACAUGUUACUUAUAGAUUUUAAACAUAUCAAUAUUACAUAGAUUCAAUAUUGAAAUUAAAUUACAAAAAUGGCAUAAAAAGAGCCACAAUAAUUACAGGUAAUAACUUUGACAAAAUCCCUAACUGAUGGAACUCGACUGCUUUGCUCUAGGAUUAUUGUUCUUGUCUUUGCUCACGGUCACACUUACAUUCACAUGCAUAGAACCUAACACAAGUUUUCAAUUUUAAGACAAAGCGAAAGACUAUAUACUACUUGUAGGAAAUAAAAGUUCUAAGGGGUGAACUUACAAUUAUAAUUCGUCCAUCCUAUUUGCUGAUUAGCCAAAUCGUAGACAACAAUCUUAUCUUUUAGGACAAGAUCUGCAAAAAAUAAGACAAUACUUGAAUAAAAUCAACUAUUAUCAUCAGAAUUACAAAGGUCAUAGCAAAAUAUUCUUGACUUCUUUUUGAAAAUUGGAUUGUUGUGACAAAUGGAAAACAAACAAUAAAUUUAAAUAUCUAUUAGAAAUCAUUUUGAAGGAUGAUUAGGAGAAUCCAACCAUUUUUUUAACACUCAAUGCAUUUUUCAAUUUCAAUUGCAAUGGGUUUAGUGAAAUUGUAAUGUAGUAACAAAUUAGAAUCUCUAAUAAAAUAAUGUCGCGCUAAUUAUUUGAGUCAGAUACAUAACAUUUUUAGAAUAUUUUACCAAUUAAAAGAGAAGAUAAGAAAAUCCUAAAAAAAAAAAGAUACCAUUUAAUAAUCAAAUGAGAGAACAAUAAUUUUUUUUUCCAAUUAAUAGCAGAGUUUAUAAAGUCUGUUUAAAUUGGUCCAUCAUCUAACCUCCUAAUAUUUGGUGUCCACUUUCUACUUUCUGGAAACCUAUGCAGCACAACCCAACAUUCUGUUAAAGCAAAAUGACACAUUAGUGACAUACAAUUCCAAAGAAUAACUUGUAUGAAAAAUAUAACAAACAACAUAAUAAUAAACAUAAUUUAUGCUUACCAUGAAAUCACUCUGCACAAGAUAUUGUGCUGAUUUUACAUCCAUGGAUGUUCCACCCGCAAAGUUAAAACUGACUAAAGGAAACUUAUCUACACUGAAUAUGUAAGAAACACAAAAAAGUUAAUGAAAUAUUUAGAAAUCCUAAUUGAACAAACUCCCUUUUCAUGUGAAGUAAAUAAAGAUCUUAAUAACAAAUAUUAUAUUUGUAAUUACCUGGUUCAGACCAGAUAACACGGGUUUCCUACUAAAACAAAGGGAUGGCUAAAUUGUGACACCAUAUAAGUUAUCUACAAAGCAAUUUAGAAACUGAACAUCAGUAUACAUUAAGGCCGAUACAAUUCUUAAAAUACAACAGAAAUAAGCAAACCCAAUUUUAAGAAAAUAAAUAAUAAGUAUUAUAUAAAAAAUAAUGUAAACUUCAACAUGGUGUUCAAUUGUUUGUUAAAGUAUCUUAAGACAUACAAGUCUCCAUUAACCUUAACAUGCAGAGUACACAACACAACAGGCAACAAAUAUUAAGCUUCAAAUAAAAAUAUUGACUCCCAAGGCAACAAAACAAGUACCACAUCAUAAGUAAGUAGUACUACAAUUAAGUAUGCAUAGUAAAAAACAAAUGAUGAAAAUUGAAACUCCUUACCCCAAGUCCAUUAGAUCGAGGCCAAUUAUCACAUUGAUUGCAACUAACCCAGAGAAGGUCGCUUUCUGUAUCAAUUAGCACAAUAUAUUACCUUGGUAGAGAUCCGAGCUUGACUAUUGUUGUGUACAUACUGAACAAAAAAAAAGCCAUCAAUUAUUAAUGAAAUCCCACUCCCUCUUAUUCCAUACAAAUAAAAUGAAAUUAAAUUAAGAUUUUUUUGGAUAAGUUGAAUAUGUAAUAUUAUUAUCAACAUCUAAAAAUGAAAAAAUAAAAUUCAUCUCCCUAUCUAACUAUACAACACAGCAUAAGAGGGAAAAAAAAAAGAAUAAUGUGGGAAUAGAAGAAACUAAAGUUAUAAAUCAAAGAGUUUGAUGGGAGAGAUCAUUGGCUCUACCCAAACAUCGAGUUGCCUUGGACGGAGAAAUUGACAGCGCCAUGCAAUAUUUUUGAGUUGCGAGCUCUGUCAUGAGCUCCCAACGUCUCCAUCUCAAUACGAUGGUUGUGCGGCACGACCUGAUUUAAAGGGAGGUAACUGGUACCCAUCAUGGGUACAACAAUGAUGGCCAAACAGCAUGCCAAAAAGAAUUGGUUAAUGUAGAAAUGCAUUUUCGUGUAAGGUUAGAGAGUAGAAAAAGAGUGGUGGUAGAAUUGGAGUGAAAGUUGAAAUAUAAUAGAGUAGAGCAAGAGAGAAUGAUAAUGUGAAUGAUUAUUAAGAUUAACAUUGGAGCUAUUUAUACUACUCAAUAUGAAUGAAUUAAGCUAAAAUAAAGAAAUGAACAAUGUAAAUGUAAAUAAUGCAGUGCUCACAUGAAUUGAUCCCUCACCUUUCACUUUGCAGCUCAUCAUAUUAGUAAAUUUGUUCCUCAAACUUCAAAUUAACUAAAAAACAGAAUGAUCAAUUGAUGAUAGCUUUUAGAUAUGAAGUCAAAUUAAGAAAAAGAGAUGAAAAUGAUGACAAUAAUAAUAAACAUUAUGUGUAAAGAGAUAAUGAAAGAAAAGUAAAAUUUGGUAUGUUUAGUAAACUGCCUGAUUUUAAUCGAAUCAUCACUGAUGGACUUACUCUGCGAAUCCAUAGCAUCCCAAUUAGAAGGAAUCCAUUUCUUAAUCCCUCACUUCCAAAUAAAGUUUUAACUCACAUAUUUUCAAUGCAGCAUCUAUGAACUCCAUAUACAUCUAUGAAUUGUCUUUACAUAUCAUACUUGAGUUACAUAAAUCUUUCUUUUACCAAAACUCUACCAUUUUAAAAAUUCAUAAUUUGUAAAUAAUUCAAUGCGAAAAUUCAUAUUAAGUAUUAGUACUAGCAAAAACAUUAGAAUGAAUGCAAAAAUUAAGAGAGAAGAUAAGAAAAUCCUACUAUUUACCAAUUCUCCAAUUUAUUAAAAAAAUCAACCUAUUGACAAAGCUUGCAUGACCAAUUUAACUCCCCCCAACACUCCCCAUUCCGAACAUUAUCUAUAAUUGAGUCCUAUAGUCUUUUAGCAUAAGCUCCAUUGACCCGCCUAUCCAAGUCUAAAUUCUAUAUGUUCCAACAUACACACAAAUUUAUAAUUGUCCAAAAUAAAUAAGCAUAACGGUUUCUCACCCAAAAAAGACCGUGGCUGAAGAGUUAACACUAGAAGGAGAAGGUUGCCCGAGGAUCGUGUCAAAAUGCAUUUCAUCAGUGACAUAAACACCUGAGGUAGUAUUAUUAUCUUGAUACCCAUAGGUGUAUGUGCACUGUUUAAUAGGAAGAAAGAGCCACAAUAAUUACAGGUAAUAACUUUGACAAAAUCCCUAACUCUGAACUAAUGAUGGAACUCGACUGCUUUGCUCUAGGAUUAUUGUUCUUGUCUUUGCUCACGGUCACAUUUACAUUCACAUGCAUAGAACCUAAAACAAGUUUUCAAUUUUAAGACAGAGAGAAAGACUAUAUACUACUUGUAGGAAAUAAAAGUUAUAAGGGGUGAACUUACAAUUAUAAUUCGUCCAUCCUAUUUGCUGAUUAGCCAAAUCGUAGACAACGAUCUUAUCUUUUAGGACAAGAUCUACAAAAAAUAAGACAAUACUUGGAUAAAAUCAACUAUUAUCAUCAGAAUUACAAAGGUCAUAGCAAAAUAUUCUUGACUUCUUUUUGAAAAUUGGAUUGUUGUGACAAAUGGAAAACAAACAAUAAAUUUAAAUAUCUAUUAGAAAUCAUUUUGAAGGAUGAUUAGGAGAAUCCAACCAUUUUUUUAACACUCAAUGCAUUUUUCAAUUUCAAUUGCAAUGGGUUUAGUGAAAUUGUAAUGUAGUAACAAAUUAGAAUCUCUAAUAAAAUAAUGCCGCGCUAAUUAUUUGAGUCAGAUACAUAACAUUUUUAGAAUAUUUUACCAUUUAUAAAAGUUUCCAUUCAAUCGGAUAAAAAAAAAAGAUACCAUUUAAUAAUCAAAUGAGAGAACAAUAAUUUUUUUUCCAAUUAAUAGCAGAGUUUAUAAAGUCUGUUUAAAUUGGUCCAUCAUCUAACCUCCUAAUAUUUGGUGUCCACUUUCUACUUUCUGGAAACCUAUGCAGCACAGCCCAGCAUUCUGUUAAAGCAAAAUGACACAUUAGUGACAUACAAUUCCAAAGAAUAACUUGUAUGCAAAAUAUAACAAACAACAUAAUAAUAAACAUAAUUUAUGCUUACCAUGAAAUCACUCUGCACAAGAUAUUGUGCUGAUUUUACAUCCAUGGAUGUUCCACCCGCAAAAUUAAAACUGACUAAAGGAAACUUAUCUACACUGAAUACGUAAGAAACACAAAAAAGUUAAUGAAAUAUUUAGAAAUCCUAAUUGAACAAACUCCAUUUUCAUGUGAAGUAAAUAGAGAUCUUAAUAACAAAUAUUAUAUUUGUAAUUACCUGGUUCAGACCAGAUAACACGGGUUUCCUACUAAAACAAAGGGAUGGCUAAAUUGUGACACCAUAGAAGUUAUCUACAAAGCAAUUUAGAAACUGAACAUCAGUAUACAUUAAGGCCGAUACAAUUCUUAAAAUACAACAGAAAUAAGCAAACCCAAUUUUAAGAAAAUAAAUAAUAAGUAUUAUAUAAAAAAUAAUGUAAACUUCAACAUGGUGUUCAAUUGUUUGUUAAAGUAUCUUAAGACAUACAAGUCUCCAUUAACCUUAACAUGCAGAGUACACAACACAACAUGCAACAAAUAUUAAGCUUCAAAUAAAAAUAUUGACUCCCAAGGCAACAAAACAAGUACCACAUCAUAAGUAAGUAGUACUACAAUUAAGUAUGCAUAGUAAAAAACAAAUGGUGAAAAUUGAAACUCCUUACCCCAAGUCCAUUAGAUCGAGACCAAUUAUCACAUUGAGUGCAACUAACCCAGAGAAGGUCGCUUUCUGUAUCAAUCAGCACAAUAUAUUACCUUGGUGGAGAUCCGAGCUUGACUAUUGUUGUGUACAUACUGAACAAAAAAAAAGCCAUCAAUUAUUAAUGAAAUCCCACUCCCUCUUAUUCCAUACAAAUAAAAUGAAAUUAAAUUCAGAUUUUUUUGGAUAAGUUGAAUAUGUAAUAUUAUUAUCAACAUCUAAAAAUGAAAAAAUAAAAUUCAUUUCCCUAUCUAACUAUACAACAAAGCAUAAGAGAGAAAAAAAACGUGAGAAUAACGUGGGAAUAGAAGAAACUAAAGUUAUAAAUCAAAGAGUUUAUGGGAGAGGUCAUUGGCUCUACCCAAACAUCGAGUUGCCUUGGACGGGGAAAUUGACGGCGCCAUGCAAUAUUUUUGAGUUGCAAGCUAUGUCAUGAGCUCUCAACGUCUCCAUCUCAAUACGAUGGUUGAGCGGCACGACCCAGUUUAAAUGGAGGUAACCGGUAGACAUCAUGGGUACAACAGGGAUGGCCAAACAGCAUGCCAAAAAGAAUUGGUUAAUGUAGAAAUGCAUUUUCGUUGAAGGUUAGAGAGUAGAAAAAGAGUGGUGGUAGAAUUGGAGUAAAACUUGAAAUAUAAUAGAGUAGAGUAAACCCAAUAGGGUUGAGUCAAGCCCUUAGAGUUUGCCGCCACCGCCUAUGGUCACCCAUGUUAAGAAGAAGAAAGAAGAAAUCACGGGUCACCCACUUUCACCCAAAAAAAAAAAUUAAAUAGAAAUGUGUAAAUAAAAAAAAAUGUAGGGUUGAGAUGUUAUUCAACUUUAAAGUAAAAAAAAAAUUAGAAUUCAUCCAACACUAAUAAAUAAAUUUAUAUUUAUCUUUUUUUAAUAUUUAUAAUAUUGGAAAUUUAACAAUUUUAUUGUACCAUGUGAUGUUAAUAUUUUCUUUUUGUAUUUUAUUGAGAAAAGACAUUCGUAUUUUUGUUUUUUCGAGCCAUUUGUCUUUUAUUGUUUGGGAANNNNNNNNNNNNNNNNNNNNNNNNNNNNNNNNNNNNNNNNNNNNNNNNNNNNNNNNNNNNNNNNNNNNNNNNNNNNNNNNNNNNNNNNNNNNNNNNNNNNNNNNNNNNNNNNNNNNNNNNNNNNNNNNNNNNNNNNNNNNNNNNNNNNNNNNNNNNNNNNNNNNNNNNNNNNNNNNNNNNNNNNNNNNNNNNNNNNNNNNNNNNNNNNNNNNNNNNNNNNNNNNNNNNNNNNNNNNNNNNNNNNNNNNNNNNNNNNNNNNNNNNNNNNNNNNNNNNNNNNNNNNNNNNNNNNNNNNNNNNNNNNNNNNNNNNNNNNNNNNNNNNNNNNNNNNNNNNNNNNNNNNNNNNNNNNNNNNNNNNNNNNNNNNNNNNNNNNNNNNNNNNNNNNNNNNNNNNNNNNNNNNNNNNNNNNNNNNNNNNNNNNNNNNNNNNNNNNNNNNNNNNNNNNNNNNNNNNNNNNNNNNNNNNNNNNNNNNNNNNNNNNNNNNNNNNNNNNNNNNNNNNNNNNNNNNNNNNNNNNNNNNNNNNNNNNNNNNNNNNNNNNNNNNNNNNNNNNNNNNNNNNNNNNNNNNNNNNNNNNNNNNNNNNNNNNNNNNNNNNNNNNNNNNNNNNNNNNNNNNNNNNNNNNNNNNNNNNNNNNNNNNNNNNNNNNNNNNNNNNNGUGUGAUUGGUAAAUUGAAUGUGCAUUACUUUAUUUGUUUUGUCAUAUUUAUUCAACCGUAUUAGUCUUGUUAUGUAUAUUUUGCCACAUUAUCCAUCACACGAAUCAAUUUUUUUGAUAUAUUGAGAUAAAAUCAGGUAAUACAUUGUAUACUAAUGUAUUGUUAAUUUAUCUCAAAAGAUAAAAUCAAAUUAAAUAUAUCCAUCUUCCAAAGGUAUUUUAAAAAUAUCUACAUAUAAAAUGAUUAGAUUAGGUUCAUUUUUUACUUUUAUUACUCUUUCCAAUCACACGACUUAAUUUUUUUUAUAUUAAAUCAAUUUGUAAAUUAAUGAAAAAAAUAAUCAAUUUACUAAUAGGCCAAAGGUGCAGGUAAUAGGCCAAAGGUGUUUCCAGUGAAAUCAACCUAUGUCAUUUCAUAAUCACAAAAACAAUGCAUUAAUAAGAAAAUGAAACACAGAGCAAUUUAGAUUCACAAUAGUUGUGACUACAAUGCAGUUAAAACAUCUGAAUCCUCUUAUUAAAAUCGGACGGACCAAAUUUUAAAAUUAAAUUUAAAUUAUUUUUAAAUUAAAUUUGAGAUUGAAAUCUGAACCAUUCUGAUAUGCUUAAUUGCAAUGAGAAGUGAAAAUCAACGUAAAUGAGAAGCGCAAGCGUGAAGAAUCUGUGGGAGAGAAAAUGAAAAUAUGAUAAGCAAAUCCACAAUUUCGAAGAAUAACAUAAAAUUCCUAAUUUUGAACAUAUGAAAAACGUUAGCAAUGAUUUCAGAACACAAAUAUAUUACUAAUAAUCUCAAUCGAAUAAUGAAUCAACCAAAUCACUAAACCCUAAAACAAUGUAAUUUUGCGAUACCAUACCUUGUUGAGUUGAUGAUUUUUAACUGUAGUUGAAGGCCGACCAAGGAGGUAAUGGUGGCUCGAUUUGCACCUACGUGAACGGAGGAGGGCGGUGGAGGCCUUGGUGGUGGUUAUUUGCGAUGAAAAGAGGAAGAGAAAGAAGAACAUAUAAAAAUGUAUUUGCGAUGAACGGAGGAGGGCGGAAGAGAGAGUGACAAUCUUAUACUAUAAACAUUGGAAGUUGGAUUUGAAAAAAGGAAGAAAAGUAAGGGAAUUGAAUGUGUUCUUUACUCUUUUGCUUUUCAGAAUCACUUUUGCUUUUCAGAAUCACACAAGUCAAAAGUAAGGUAUUUGUAUUGUAUAAUUUUUUUCUACCGUCUUUUACUAAUUUUAUAUUAUUAAUUAACAAUUAGUUUUUUCUUUUUUGAUUCACACAUUUAAAUUUAGGUGAUUUUCAAUGUUAAAAUGAUAAUUUCAACAUGGACAUUAAUAUAUUUAGAUAAUAAUAAUAAUAAAUAUAUACAGUAAAUUAAAAAUAAUUUAUAUUUAAAGUUUUGAAAUAAUACCUAACUAAGGUUUUAAAAUUUAUUCAAAAUUUUGGUAAAUUUAAAACUUUCAAAAUGUAAAUAUGCUGAAAAAAUUACCAAUUACGAAACUUUGGAAAAAUACCAAAAACGGUUAUAAAUUCUACAAAAAAAUUCAUCAGCAAUCAGAUAUUAUUAUUAUUAUUACUACUGAUAAUCCGUCACCCCCUUCAAAUUUUAAUAACAAUAAAUUAAUAGUAAUAAAUAUGAAAUAAAUUACAUGAAGAAUAAAAUAAAUUUGAUAUAUAAUUUUGGAAGUUUCAAUAAUUUUUAAAAAAAAAUUAAAAAUUUCGAAACUUUUGAAAUGGAAUUACUUAAAACAAUUUAUUAGCACGAAUCUCAAAGAAAUUAAUGAAAUUUUAAAGAGAUUUAUGAAAUUAAAAUCCAAAAUGAUUGUGUAAAAAAACUAAUGUGAUGAAGAAUUUUAAAUUUUAUAGAUCAUCCCAUAAUUUGUUAAUCUUAAAGACAAAAUUGUACUAUAUCAACAAAUUCAUAAACUAAAUUGACCAUUCCACCAAAAACAAAUUACUCAUAACUUUUCAGCAUUAAUUUCAAUCUAAUAAUGAUUUAAAUUAACAAUAUCUCACCUGGUGAAAAGCUGGUACAUGUGUCAAUCCAACACCAAGUUCAGCCAAACAAGAGUACACCCUACCAUCACUUCCAUAAAGAUGAUGAUACCUUUCCAAACAAGAAUCAAAAACCUUAGCCAAAACAUUAGCCAAAGAAGAACUAAUAGCAAAACCAGCACCACCAAAAGCCAUUCCAAAACCAAACAACCUAUUCUUCUCAUAAAUCUCAGAGUGUGCACCAAUAUAGUACCAAAGCUCAUGAUCAUAUUUAGAAAGUGUCUUAACCAAAUUCUCUUGCAAGAAAAUUGUGUCAUCAUCACCAAACACAUACCACCUCACAUUUGAAUGAUUCAAAGCAACUGUCUCAACAACGACUCGAGCCACGCGUUUCGCCGAUCGAAGUCCACCUUUAAAAGUGUAUCGAAACCGCGACGUGUCUCGAGAUAAACAAAGAGGAGGAAGAGAAGAAGGGUCAUCUUCAUUACUAAUACUAUCCAUAAAAACACAACCUUUCAUUGCAUUGUUGGUUUUCCACCAUAGUUUCACAUAAUCUUUUCUUUUUGUCCAUGAACUCUUGCUUGAAGCAAUUCCAAACACAAUGUGAUCUAAAGUGGUGUUGGUUGAAAUUGUUGACACAUCUUGUGAUGAUGAAUGAUGCAAAUGUUGUAGUAGCUUUGAAUUUGAAUUUGAUGAAUGACAUAAAAGCCACAAAAUGAAGAUGUGACUAAAAUGAAAUUAACAAAAAUUGUGCUUUGGUGUGUUUCUUAAAUAACUGAUGUUAAUUAACAAUGGGUAAGGUUGGUGUGAGAAACAUGAAAUGUGCCUAGUUUUGGUGUUUGAAGUAAGUUAUAAUUUGAUGUGUAAAAUUAAGGUAAGGUUGGUGUAUGAGAAGAAAAUAGUGUCACUUCCGAUUAGAUCUGUACGGUUGUGUGGUGAGCAUGGUCAUUGGAUGUAUUGACUAUAUAGAGAAGGGCAUCAAAAGAAAUGUUUAGGUAAGUUGCUUUAUUCCGAGUGGUGGUUGCAUAGGCUUUGGCAUGUGAUUGUGUUCCCUCGUGAGUCACUAAAAAACAAAAGCCAUGGAAAAGGAAUUGAAAUGGAAUCUUGUAGUACAUUGCCAUGGAAAAGGAAAUGGAAUCUUUUAGCCAUUAUAUGUCAUGCGCAUCAUUUUCUACCUUUUCCCUUCAUUAUUUGUCUUAACCGAUAAAAAGUUGUUCCAAUCAAAAUUGAACUUAGUUAAAAUGUGUCUUUGUUAAUUAUAAUUAUUGAUGCAAAUUAUAGUCAUAUUUAAUUUUAUUUUUAUUUUUGAAUGAUCAGAUUUUUAGUGGAUGAAACACCAAUAAGAGUACACACAAACAUGGAACACAAAGGAAUUCCUUUUCCAAAGGACCAACCAAUGGGUGUAUACAGCUCAAUAUGGAAUGCAGAUGAUUGGGCCACACAAGGAGGAAGAGUGAAAACAGAUUGGAGUCAUGCACCUUUUAUUGCAACAUAUAAAGCCUUUGAAAU
rnacentral:lncRNA from 1 species